rnacentral:rRNA from 1 species
UGGGCGUUAAGUUGCAGGGUAUAGACCCGAAACCCGGUGAUCUAGCCAUGGGCAGGUUGAAGGUUGGGUAACACUAACUGGAGGACCGAACCGACUAAUGUUGAAAAAUUAGCGGAUGACCUGUGGCUGGGGGUGAAAGGCCAAUCAAACCGGGAGAUAGCUGGUUCUCCCCGAAAGCUAUUUAGGUAGCGCCUCGUGAAUUCAUCUCCGGGGGUAGAGCACUGUUUCGGCUAGGGGGCCAUCCCGGCUUACCAACCCGAUGCAAACUGCGAAUACCGGAGAAUGUUAUCACGGGAGACACACGGCGGGUGCUAACGUCCGUCGUGAAGAGGGAAACAACCCAGACCGCCAGCUAAGGUCCCAAAGUCAUGGUUAAGUGGGAAACGAUGUGGGAAGGCCCAGACAGCCAGGAUGUUGGCUUAGAAGCAGCCAUCAUUUAAAGAAAGCGUAAUAGCUCACUGGUCGAGUCGGCCUGCGCGGAAGAUGUAACGGGGCUAAACCAUGCACCGAAGCUGCGGCAGCGACGCUUAUGCGUUGUUGGGUAGGGGAGCGUUCUGUAAGCCUGCGAAGGUGGCCUGUGAGGGUUGCUGGAGGUAUCAGAAGUGCGAAUGCUGACAUAAGUAACGAUAAAGCGGGUGAAAAGCCCGCUCGCCGGAAGACCAAGGGUUCCUGUCCAACGUUAAUCGGGGCAGGGUGAGUCGACCCCUAAGGCGAGGCCGAAAGGCGUAGUCGAUGGGAAACGGGUUAAUAUUCCCGUACUUGGUGUUACUGCGAAGGGGGGACGGAGAAGGCUAUGUUGGCCGGGCGACGGUUGUCCCGGUUUAAGCGUGUAGGUGUGUGUUCCAGGUAAAUCCGGUUCACUUUAACACUGAGGCGUGACGACGAGGCACUACGGUGCUGAAGCAACAAAUGCCCUGCUUCCAGGAAAAGCCUCUAAGCAUCAGGUAACAUCAAAUCGUACCCCAAACCGACACAGGUGGUCAGGUAGAGAAUACCAAGGCGCUUGAGAGAACUCGGGUGAAGGAACUAGGCAAAAUGGUGCCGUAACUUCGGGAGAAGGCACGCUGACACGUAGGUGAAGUGAUUUACUCAUGGAGCUGAAGUCAGUCGAAGAUACCAGCUGGCUGCAACUGUUUAUUAAAAACACAGCACUGUGCAAACACGAAAGUGGACGUAUACGGUGUGACGCCUGCCCGGUGCCGGAAGGUUAAUUGAUGGGGUCAGCGCAAGCGAAGCUCCUGAUCGAAGCCCCGGUAAACGGCGGCCGUAACUAUAACGGUCCUAAGGUAGCGAAAUUCCUUGUCGGGUAAGUUCCGACCUGCACGAAUGGCGUAAUGAUGGCCAGGCUGUCUCCACCCGAGACUCAGUGAAAUUGAACUCGCUGUGAAGAUGCAGUGUACCCGCGGCAAGACGGAAAGACCCCGUGAACCUUUACUAUAGCUUGACACUGAACAUUGAGCCUUGAUGUGUAGGAUAGGUGGGAGGCUUUGAAGUGUGGACGCCAGUCUGCAUGGAGCCGACCUUGAAAUACCACCCUUUAAUGUUUGAUGUUCUAACGUGGACCCGUUACCCGGGUUGCGGACAGUGUCUGGUGGGUAGUUUGACUGGGGCGGUCUCCUCCUAAAGAGUAACGGAGGAGCACGAAGGUUGGCUAAUCCUGGUCGGACAUCAGGAGGUUAGUGCAAUGGCAUAAGCCAGCUUGACUGCGAGCGUGACGGCGCGAGCAGGUGCGAAAGCAGGUCAUAGUGAUCCGGUGGUUCUGAAUGGAAGGGCCAUCGCUCAACGGAUAAAAGGUACUCCGGGGAUAACAGGCUGAUACCGCCCAAGAGUUCAUAUCGACGGCGGUGUUUGGCACCUCGAUGUCGGCUCAUCACAUCCUGGGGCUGAAGUAGGUCCCAAGGGUAUGGCUGUUCGCCAUUUAAAGUGGUACGCGAGCUGGGUUUAGAACGUCGUGAGACAGUUCGGUCCCUAUCUGCCGUGGGCGCUGGAGAACUGAGGGGGGCUGCUCCUAGUACGAGAGGACCGGAGUGGACGCAUCACUGGUGUUCGGGUUGUCAUGCCAAUGGCACUGCCCGGUAGCUAAAUGCGGAAGAGAUAAGUGCUGAAAGCAUCUAAGCACGAAACUUGCCCCGAG